rnacentral:rRNA from 1 species
AUUACCGAGUGCGGGUCCUUUGGGCCCAACCUCCCAUCCGUGUCUAUUGUACCCUGUUGCUUCGGCGGGCCCGCCGCUUGUCGGCCGCCGGGGGGGCGCCUCUGCCCCCCGGGCCCGUGCCCGCCGGAGACCCCAACACGAACACUGUCUGAAAGCGUGCAGUCUGAGUUGAUUGAAUGCAAUCAGUUAAAACUUUCAACAAUGGAUCUCUUGGUUCCGGCAUCGAUGAAGAACGCAGCGAAAUGCGAUAACUAAUGUGAAUUGCAGAAUUCAGUGAAUCAUCGAGUCUUUGAACGCACAUUGCGCCCCCUGGUAUUCCGGGGGGCAUGCCUGUCCGAGCGUCAUUGCUGCCCUCAAGCCCGGCUUGUGUGUUGGGUCGCCGUCCCCCUCUCCGGGGGGACGGGCCCGAAAGGCAGCGGCGGCACCGCGUCCGAUCCUCGAGCGUAUGGGGCUUUGUCACAUGCUCUGUAGGAUUGGCCGGCGCCUGCCGACGUUUUCCAACCAUUCUUUCCAGGUUGACCUCGGAUCAGGUAGGGAUACCCGCUGAACUUAAGCAUAUCAAUAAGCGGAGGAA